rnacentral:rRNA from 1 species
CCUACGGGUGGCUGCAGUGGGGAAUAUUGCACAAUGGGCGCAACCCUGAUGCAGCGACGCCGCGUGAGUGAAGAAGUAAUUCGUUAUGUAAAGCUCUAUUAGCAGGGAAGAACAUGACGGUACCUGAGUAAGAUGCCCCGGCUAACUACGGGCCAGCAGCCGCGGUAAUACGUAGGGGGCAAGCGUUAUCCGGAUUUACUGGGUGUAAAGGGGGCGUAGACGGCAGUGCAAGUCUGGGGUGAAAGGCGGGGGCUCAACCCCCGGACUGCACUGGAAACUGUCCGGCUUGAGUGCAGGAGAGGUAAGUGGAAUUCGGAGUGUAGCGGUGAAAUGCGUAGAUAUUAGGAGGAACACCAGUGGCGAAGGCGGCUUACUGGACUGUAACUGACGUUGAGGCUCGAAAGCGUGGGGAGCAAACAGGAUUAGAUACCCGAGUAGUC